GCCCAUGUGGCUCAGUGGUAGAGCACUCCCUUGGUAAGGGAGAGGUCGCG
rnacentral:tRNA from 1 species